GACGUACGCUGGCGGCGUGCUUAACACAUGCAAGUCGAACGAAGAGCGAUGGAAGCUUGCUUCUAUCAAUCUUAGUGGCGAACGGGUGAGUAACGCGUAAUCAACCUGCCCUUCAGAGGGGGACAACAGUUGGAAACGACUGCUAAUACCGCAUACGAUCUAACCUCGGCAUCGAGGAAAGAUGAAAGGUGGCCUCUAUGUAUAAGCUAUCACUGAAGGAGGGGAUUGCGUCUGAUUAGCUAGUUGGAGGGGUAACGGCCCACCAAGGCGAUGAUCAGUAGCCGGUCUGAGAGGAUGAACGGCCACAUUGGGACUGAGACACGGCCCAGACUCCUACGGGAGGCAGCAGUGGGGGAAUCUUCCGCAAUGGACGAAAAGUCUGACGGAGCAAACGCCGCGUGAGUGAUGACGGCCUUCGGGUUGUAAAAGCUUCUGGUAAUUC
rnacentral:rRNA from 1 species